GAUGAACGCUGGCGGCGUGCCUAAUACAUGCAAGUCGAGCGAACGGACGAGAAGCUUGCUUCUCUGAUGUUAGCGGCGGACGGGUGAGUAACACGUGGAUAACCUACCUAUAAGACUGGGAUAACUUCGGGAAACCGGAGCUAAUACCGGAUAAUAUUUUGAACCGCAUGGUUCAAAAGUGAAAGACGGUCUUGCUGUCACUUAUAGGUGGAUCCGCGCUGCAUUAGCUAGUUGGUAAGGUAACGGCUUACCAAGGCAACGAUGCAUAGCCGACCUGAGAGGGUGAUCGGCCACACUGGAACUGAGACACGGUCCAGACUCCUACGGGAGGCAGCAGUAGGGAAUCUUCCGCAGUGGGCGAAAGCCUGACGGAGCAACGCCGCGUGAGUGAUGAAGGUCUUCGGAUCGUAAAACUCUGUUAUUAGGGAAGAACAUAUGUGUAAGUAACUGUGCACAUCUUGACGGUACCUAAUCAGAAAGCCACGGCUAACUACGUG
rnacentral:rRNA from 1 species